UGCCAUGUGCUUCCUGAGUUGUGAGA
rnacentral:sRNA from 1 species